AUUGAACGCUGGCGGCAUGCUUUACACAUGCAAGUCGAACGGUAACAGGCCGCAAGGUGCUGACGAGUGGCGCACGGGUGAGUAAUGCAUCGGAACGUGCCCAGUCGUGGGGGAUAACUACUCGAAAGAGUAGCUAAUACCGCAUACGAUCUAUGGAUGAAAGCGGGGGACCGUAAGGCCUCGCGCGACUGGAGCGGCCGAUGUCAGAUUAGGUAGUUGGUGGGGUAAAGGCUCACCAAGCCAACGAUCUGUAGCUGGUCUGAGAGGACGACCAGCCACACUGGGACUGAGACACGGCCCAGACUCCUACGGGAGGCAGCAGUGGGGAAUUUUGGACAAUGGGCGCAAGCCUGAUCCAGCAAUGCCGCGUGCAGGAAGAAGGCCUUCGGGUUGUAAACUGCUUUUGUACGGAACGAAACGGCUCUGGUUAAUACCCGGGGCUAAUGACGGUACCGUAAGAAUAAGCACCGGCUAACUACGUG
rnacentral:rRNA from 1 species